GAUGAACGCUAGCUACAGGCUUAACACAUGCAAGUCGAGGGGAAACGACAUCGAAAGCUUGCUUUUGAUGGGCGUCGACCGGCGCACGGGUGAGUAACGCGUAUCCAACCUGCCCAUCACUUGGGAAUAACCUUGCGAAAGUAAGACUAAUACCCAAUGACAUCCCACGAAGACAUCUGAAUGGGAUUAAAGAUUUAUCGGUGAUGGAUGGGGAUGCGUCUGAUUAGCUUGUUGGCGGGGUAACGGCCCACCAAGGCAACGAUCAGUAGGGGUUCUGAGAGGAGGGUCACCCACAUUGGAACUGAGACACGAUCCAAACUCCUACGGGAGGCAGCAGUGAGGAAUAUGGGUCAAUGGGCGAGAGCCUGAACCAGCCAAGUAGCGUGCAGGAUGACGGCCCUAUGGGUUGUAAACUGCUUUUAUAAGGGAAUAAAGUGGGUCUCGUGAGACUUUUUGCAUGUACCUUAUGAAUAAGGACCGGCUAAUUCCGUG
rnacentral:rRNA from 1 species